rnacentral:tRNA from 1 species
AAGAGUAAAAAGCAAAGAAGCUGCUAACUAUCUUUCAAGUGUUUAAUCACUUUACUCUUA